rnacentral:rRNA from 1 species
UGGCGGACGGGUGAGUAACGCGUGGGUAACCUGCCCUGUACAGGGGGAUAACAGCUGGAAACGGCUGCUAAUACCGCAUAAGCGCACGAGGAGACAUCUCCUUGUGUGAAAAACUCCGGUGGUACAGGAUGGGCCCGCGUCUGAUUAGCUAGUUGGUGGGGUAACGGCCUACCAAGGCGACGAUCAGUAGCCGACCUGAGAGGGUGACCGGCCACAUUGGGACUGAGACACGGUCCAAACUCCUACGGGAGGCAGCAUG